CGGUGGGGCUGAGGCGAGGCGAGCCCGGUGCGGGCCCUCGCCUGCCUGCCCGCCCGCCUCCCCGCUGGCCGGGCCAUGGAGCUGGACGCCUCCGACGAGGCGGGCGGCGCUGAGGCCGCCGCGGGAGCUGUGCCCCCUGAGGCCGCCGCGGGAGGAUGGGCGACCCCGCUCGACCCCUCCGCCACCGGGGAAGGCAGGCAGGCAGGACUGGCUGUGAAGAAGGCUGUUCUAACCGAGUUGCACACAAGCUGCUCCAGAAACCUUUUUGGCUGAAGCACAGAAUAAAAAUACCGUGAUUGAAUGGAUGAAGCCAUCUGGCAGCUGUUACUCCCGCUGCGCCAUUGCUUUUUGCUCAGCUUGUACUUCCCAGGAUCAUAAACAGAACCUCUUUUCCACUAGCCCCACCUCCUUGGCCUCUCCCUCCUUCGCUCCAGUGCCAACCAUCCUGAUCCCGUGCGUUUCAGUUCUCUAGAAACCAAGGCUCUGGACAGAGCUUUGGAGCCUCGAAAGAAAGCCUUCUCCCACUGGCACCUAGACGAUGCUUAGGGACACCUCCUCCUGGGACAGGUGUGGGGAGACUGCCUCUCUUCGGCCAGGUUUUUGCCAGAACGUCAG
rnacentral:lncRNA from 1 species